UUGAUUUAUUUUGUAUGGUUACUCAGAGGGCCGCUGAAAGCAAGAGUUUGGUAGGCCUCUGGCGGGCACCUCCCCCUGGGGGGAGGCGGCGGCCCCGCCCUGGGGCUGCCCGCCGAAGCAACUAUUCAGAUAGGUUCACAAAGGGUUGACGAGUCCGGUAGAACUCUUCCGUAAUGAUCCCUCCGCUGGUUCACCAACGGAGA
rnacentral:misc_RNA from 1 species